CCUACGGGGUGCAGCAGUGGGGAAUAUUGGACAAUGGGCGAAAGCCUGAUCCAGCCAUGCCGCGUGUGUGAAGAAGGCCUUCGGGUUGUAAAGCACUUUCAUUGGGGAAGAAAGCCUUGGGGCUAAUACCCUCGAGGAAGGACAUCACCCACAGAAGAAGCACCGGCUAACUCCGUGCCAGCAGCCGCGGUAAUACGGAGGGUGCGAGCGUUAAUCGGAAUUACUGGGCGUAAAGCGCGCGUAGGCGGUCUGAUAAGCCGGUUGUGAAAGCCCCGGGCUCAACCUGGGAACGGCAUCCGGAACUGUCAGGCUAGAGUGCAGGAGAGGAAGGUAGAAUUCCCGGUGUAGCGGUGAAAUGCGUAGAGAUCGGGAGGAAUACCAGUGGCGAAGGCGGCCUUCUGGACUGACACUGACGCUGAGGUGCGAAAGCGUGGGUAGCAAACAGGAUUAGAUACCCUGGUAGUC
rnacentral:rRNA from 1 species